rnacentral:rRNA from 1 species
UUCCAGACUCCUACGGGAGGCAGCAGUGGGGGAUAUUGCACAAUGGGGGAAACCCUGAUGCAGCGACGCCGCGUGGGUGAAGAAGCGCCUCGGCGCGUAAAGCCCUGUCAGCAGGGAAGAAAAUGACGGUACCUGAAGAAGAAGCCCCGGCUAACUACGUGCCAGCAGCCGCGGUAAUACGUAGGGGGCAAGCGUUAUCCGGAUUUACUGGGUGUAAAGGGGGCGCAGACGGCGAUGCAAGCCAGGAGUGAGAGCCCGGGGCCCAACCCCGGGACUGCUCUUGGAACUGCGUGGCUAGAGUGCAGGAGGGGCAGGCGGAAUUCCUGGUGUAGCGGUGAAAUGCGUAGAUAUCAGGAGGAACACCGGUGGCGAAGGCGGCCUGCUGGACGGAUACUGACGCUGAGGCCCGAAAGCGUGGGGAGCGAACAGGAUUAGAUACCCUGGUAGU